rnacentral:rRNA from 1 species
UACAGAGGGGGCAAGCGUUGUUCGGAAUUACUGGGCGUAAAGGGCGCGUAGGCGGUCAGCACAAGUCAGUUGUGAAAUCUCCGAGCUUAACUCGGAAAGGUCAACUGAUACUGUGCGACUAGAGUGCAGAAGGGGCAACUGGAAUUCUCGGUGUAGCGGUGAAAUGCGUAGAUAUCGAGAGGAACACCGGUGGCGAAGGCGGCUUUCUGGACGGUGAUUGACGCUGAGACGCGAAAGCGUGGGGAGCAAACAGG